UAUAUACUAGUGUAAAGCACGAGAAAUUUUGAUUUUUUAGGUUUAGGUGAAAAUCCUUUGUAUAUAU
rnacentral:tRNA from 1 species